CGCCAUCUCGCCUUUCUUAAAUAUAAUCUAUACCGUGGUGAAAUGGCUCAUAGUAAAAUAUAUUUCGUUGUGUUAACAACUGCUCUGCUUGCAGUCCACAUGAUUGUGGCUGAAGAUGGCGAGGAUACUGAAAACCGACGAAUCAGGUGGCCAAGCUCACUUGAAAUCGGUAUUCAUCGAGCACAGAACAUCUUGAAUCAUGAGGAAAGACAGGAAAGAUCGCUGCCAUCUCUUUCUUUUUUACCAACUUUCGGUUCCUGCAAUUAUAAUUCUGAACCUGGACUCUCAUGUGCCGACUGUAGUAAUGCAAGGUUGUGUUUACCAAAUAAUGUGAGCAUCACAACCAAUUGCGGGGUAUUUCUUCCUAACUGCAAUGGAGGUGUUUGUUCUUCUACCCCCAGCAGGUCCUGCUCCGAAAACAGCACGUAAAAUAUGGUUAUCCGUGGCAUGAUUUUUAAGAAAAUCCGUUCCCUGUUUAUAAAUUGAAACCAAAGCAAUGUAUAAUGAAAACAGUUUGGCAAAUAAAUUGAAAUAAGACACAAA